rnacentral:rRNA from 1 species
UACAGAGGGUGCGAGCGUUACUCGGAAUUACUGGGCGUAAAGCGUGCGUAGACGGUUAUGUAAGUCGGGUGUGAAAGCCCCGGGCUCAACCUGGGAAUUGCAUUCGAGACUGCAUAGCUAGGGUGCGGGAGAGGGAAGCGGAAUUUCCGGUGUAGCGGUGAAAUGCGUAGAUAUCGGAAGGAACACCAGUGGCGAAAGCGGCUUCCUGGUCCAGCACCGACGUUCAGGCACGAAAGCGUGGGGAGCAAACAGG